GGGCCCUUAGCUCAAUUGGUCAGAGCUGGCGGCUCAUACCCGCUCGGUUGCAGGUUCGAGUCCUGCAGGGCCUACCA
rnacentral:tRNA from 1 species